rnacentral:rRNA from 1 species
UUUGAUCCUGGCUCAGAUUGAACGCUGGCGGCAGGCCUAACACAUGCAAGUCGAACGGUAACAUUUCUAGCUUGCUAGAAGAUGACGAGUGGCGGACGGGUGAGUAAUGCUUGGGAACUUGCCUUUGCGAGGGGGAUAACAGUUGGAAACGACUGCUAAUACCGCAUAAUAUCUUAGGAUCAAACGGGGCUUAGGCUCCGGCGCAAAGAGAGGCCCAAGUGAGAUUAGCUAGUUGGUGAGGUAAAAGCUCACCAAGGCAACGAUCUCUAGCUGUUCUGAGAGGAAGAUCAGCCACACUGGGACUGAGACACGGCCCAGACUCCUACGGGAGGCAGCAGUGGGGAAUAUUGCACAAUGGGGGAAACCCUGAUGCAGCCAUGCCGCGUGUGUGAAGAAGGCCUUCGGGUUGUAAAGCACUUUCAGUUGUGAGGAAAAGUUAGUAGUUAAUAC